rnacentral:rRNA from 2 species
AUACAUGCAAGUCGAGCGAACAGAUGAGAAGCUUGCUUCUCUGAUGUUAGCGGCGGACGGGUGAGUAACACGUGGGUAACCUACCUAUAAGACUGGGAUAACUCCGGGAAACCGGGGCUAAUACCGGAUAAUAUUUUGAACCGCAUGGUUCAAUAGUGAAAGACGGUUUCGGCUGUCACUUAUAGAUGGACCCGCGCCGUAUUAGCUAGUUGGUAAGGUAACGGCUUACCAAGGCGACGAUACGUAGCCGACCUGAGAGGGUGAUCGGCCACACUGGAACUGAGACACGGUCCAGACUCCUACGGGAGGCAGCAGUAGGGAAUCUUCCGCAAUGGGCGAAAGCCUGACGGAGCAACGCCGCGUGAGUGAUGAAGGUCUUCGGAUCGUAAAACUCUGUUGUUAGGGAAGAACAAAUUUGUUAGUAACUGAACAAGUCUUGACGGUACCUAACCAGAAAGCCACGGCUAACUACGUGCCAGCAGCCGCGGUAAUACGUAGGUGGCAAGCGUUAUCCGGAAUUAUUGGGCGUAAAGCGCGCGUAGGCGGUUUCUUAAGUCUGAUGUGAAAGCCCACGGCUCAACCGUGGAGGGUCAUUGGAAACUGGGAAACUUGAGUGCAGAAGAGGAGAGUGGAAUUCCAUGUGUAGCGGUGAAAUGCGCAGAGAUAUGGAGGAACACCAGUGGCGAAGGCGGCUCUCUGGUCUGUAACUGACGCUGAUGUGCGAAAGCGUGGGGAUCAAACAGGAUUAGAUACCCUGGUAGUCCACGCCGUAAACGAUGAGUGCUAAGUGUUAGGGGGUUUCCGCCCCUUAGUGCUGCAGCUAACGCAUUAAGCACUCCGCCUGGGGAGUACGACCGCAAGGUUGAAACUCAAAGGAAUUGACGGGGACCCGCACAAGCGGUGGAGCAUGUGGUUUAAUUCGAAGCAACGCGAAGAACCUUACCAAAUCUUGACAUCCUUUGACCGCUCUAGAGAUAGAGUCUUCCCCUUCGGGGGACAAAGUGACAGGUGGUGCAUGGUUGUCGUCAGCUCGUGUCGUGAGAUGUUGGGUUAAGUCCCGCAACGAGCGCAACCCUUAAGCUUAGUUGCCAUCAUUAAGUUGGGCACUCUAGGUUGACUGCCGGUGACAAACCGGAGGAAGGUGGGGAUGACGUCAAAUCAUCAUGCCCCUUAUGAUUUGGGCUACACACGUGCUACAAUGGAUAAUACAAAGGGCAGCGAAUCCGCGAGGCCAAGCAAAUCCCAUAAAAUUAUUCUCAGUUCGGAUUGUAGUCUGCAACUCGACUACAUGAAGCUGGAAUCGCUAGUAAUCGUAGAUCAGCAUGCUACGGUGAAUACGUUCCCGGGUCUUGUACACACCGCCCGUCACACCACGAGAGUUUGUAACACCCGAAGCCGGUGGAGUAACCUUUUAGGAGCU